CCUCAUUUAAGACAGCAGGACUAGUCGCUACCAUGUGCACCCCCAAACCUGAUGGGAUUACGAACUUGAACCAAGUAGACUUUGAAAUGCGCUGUCAGCUGCUCGACCUGCUGUUUUUCUAAGUGGAUGUAAUUGUGCGUCUGACCUCCGAGUUUUGUUGAAAUUGUGAAUCUGCCAGGAUGUGCAUAUGGUUCCGCUCUGGCUGGCCCGUAACCAAAGGAACAAAGGUGCUGAACAAACCUGUACUCUUGCUUUACAAGAGGAGCCCACACGAUGAUCCACCAUCCCAACUACUUGAGAUGUCUAGACUCCUUUUUAUUCAGCCUUUGCCCGUUAGAUUGGUCCUUUCUUUUUUCUUUACCCCCUUUUGUUAUUGUUAAGUAAAUCCUCGUUCAAGUUA